rnacentral:rRNA from 1 species
UACGUAGGGGGCAAGCGUUGUCCGGAAUCAUUGGGCGUAAAGAGCGUGUAGGCGGCUUGGCAAGUCUGGUGUGAAAUCCUGCGGCUCAACCGCAAGCGGUCACUGGAAACUGCCUCGCUAGAGUCCGGAAGAGGAGAGCGGAAUUCCUGGUGUAGCGGUGGAAUGCGCAGAUAUCAGGAAGAACACCCGUGGCGAAGGCGGCUCUCUGGGACGGUACUGACGCUGAGACGCGAAAGCGUGGGGAGCGAACAGG